AUUGAACGCUGGCGGCAGGCCUAACACAUGCAAGUCGAGCGGAUGAAGGGAGCUUGCUCCUGGAUUCAGCGGCGGACGGGUGAAUAAUGCCUAGGAAUCUGCCUGGUAGUGGGGGAUAACGUCCGGAAACGGGCGCUAAUACCGCAUACGUCCUGAGGGAGAAAGUGGGGGAUCUUCGGACCUCACGCUAUCAGAUGAGCCUAGGUCGGAUUAGCUAGUUGGUGGGGUAAAGGCCUACCAAGGCGACGAUCCGUAACUGGUCUGAGAGGAUGAUCAGUCACACUGGAACUGAGACACGGUCCAGACUCCUACGGGAGGCAGCAGUGGGGAGUAUUGGACAAUGGGCGAAAGCCUGAUCCAGCCAUGCCGCGUGUGUGAAGAAGGUCUUCGGAUUGUAAAGCACUUUAAGUUGGGAGGAAGGGCAGUAAGUUAAUACCUUGCUGUUUUGACGUUACCAACAGAAUAAGCACCGGCUAACUUCGUG
rnacentral:rRNA from 1 species